rnacentral:rRNA from 1 species
GAUGAACGCUGGCGGCGGGCCUAACACAUGCAAGUCGAACGAAUGGCGGACUGGUGAGUAAUGUAUUAGCAACUGCCUAAUGUAGGGGGAUAACUACGAGAACCGGUGGCUACUACCGCAUACCAUCGGAUGUGCCGCGAUGGGAUUAGCUAGUCGGGGGGGUAACGGCUCACCUAGGCGACGAUGCAUAGCUGGCCUGAGAGGCUGAGCGGCCACACUGGAACUGAGACACGGCCCAGACUCCUACGGGAGGCAGCAGUGGGGAAUAUUGGACAAUGGGCGAAAGCCUGACACAGCCACGCCGCGUGAAUGAAGAAGGUUUUCGGGUUGUAAAGUACUGUCAGCGGGGAGGCGGUACCUGCAGAAAAAGCAACGGCUAACUCCGUGCCAGCCGCCGCGGUAAUAC